UCCAGACAUUCCCAACGGAUCAUGCUAAGCGAUAUCUCUCCAGCAAUAGAAUGACUAUGUCAAUUCAGAAACCGUCAACUGGUAUUUGGAAAUUGACCCGCUAUCAGAGUUCCUCAUGGAAAGUUAACGUCACAGCCUCCACUAAUAUUGACAUCGACACUCAACUUAAAGAAACAGACGAAUUCGGAAUAUCGUAUAUAUUGGACCGAAACCCUAUUGUAGGUAAAAACUACACCCUGGAAGUCCUCGCCUACAAUUUGAACUCGUCGUUCUCAUCGUUUAGACUACAUCUACUAGACGACCAUGGAACGGUCAUGUACAAUCAUCCUGUGCAUAUCGCGUUUGAGGUUUCGAAAAUAAGUGGAUAUGUACGAAUCAGUA